rnacentral:rRNA from 1 species
AUGGCGGAAAACAGGAGCUCUCAGCGGAGGCAGGGGAAGGAACCUGCUGAAGAAUUGCUUGCCCGGCUCACGCUACAGGAGGAAGAAGAGGACGAAUUCAUAUGGGAGGAGGAGCUGCCGGAUAUGGUAGAACCGGCGAAGUGGUUAGCAAUUGCCAGAGUCCAUACACCAAAGACCUUCAGCCCUAAUGCGCUGUAUAAUGACAUGCGUGUGGCAUGGAACCCUGCCAAACAGGUGGUAUGGAGGAAGAUCAAAACUAAUUUGUUCACAGCGCAGUUUGGGUGCCUGGGUGAUUGGAAUAAGGCGAUGGUUGAAGGGCCGUGGUUAUUCAAGGAGCAGGCUGUGAUCAUGGAGGAAUAUGACGGGUUUAAAAACCCUGAUACUUUCGAGCUAGAUAAGCUCUCUGUGUGGGCACAAAUUCAUCGUUUGCCGGAUAAGUUCUUGAUUGAGCGUGCUGUAAAGGGUUUGGCAUCUAGAAUUGGAGAAGUGGAAGAAGUACAACUGAAGCUACCGGCGGGUUUCUUUGGUGAAUUUGUGAGGGUUAAAGUCAAGAUAGAUAUUAAUGCUAAGAUAAAACAUUUUGUUACUGCAAAGAAGGGAGAAGAAAGUGGGAAGUACCAAGUGAAAUAUGAGAAGCUACCAACUUUUUGCUACAACUGUGGCGAGUUUGGUCAUUGGCAUGAGGAAUGUGGAGAUGGGGAGCAUGAUGAGUCUACCUUUGAGUUGGGGGAUUUUCUGUUUGCUGACAACGUACGGUUCAAACCAGCUGGUAGGGGAAAUUAUGUCCCGCAAUGGGGAGGGGGAAGACAAGGAACAUGA